rnacentral:sRNA from 1 species
CAAGAUGUGUUACUAUCGCUUUGGACAGGUUUACACAGAAGCCAAGCGUCCUCCAGGCUUUGACCGUGUCCGAAAUGCUGAGAUUGGGAAUAAAGACUUUGAGCUUGAUGUCCUGGAGGAAGCAUAUACCACAGAACAUUGGCUGGUCAGGAUAUACAAGACGCUCUUUGACUUUAUAAAUCAGCAGUUUUGAAGACUCAAGACAAACAGUGAAAUUAUUGGUUUAUCAAUGGAGAGGAAGAAACUCUUCCAGCAUUACAUAUAGAGCUUGAUGAGAUGGGGUCUCCCUAUGUUCCCCAGGCUGGUCCUGAACUCCUGGCCUCAAGCCAUUCUCCUGCCUCGCCUUCCCAAAGUGCUGGAAUUACAGGCAGGAGCCACUGCGCCCGGCCAGUGCUGGAGAAUGUAAUGGAGAUGAUCCUGCCUAUCCCUGAGUUCCAGUCUAGUUUACUGUCAGAGAAUACUUAUUUCCAUUUUUCCUAUUUUGUUCUUGAGUCUCUUUCCUCAGAAUUUACUUUUCCACUUAAAUGACGUACGCAGCUUUUAAAUUUGCAUUGUAAGAUUUAUUUUGGCUCUCCCCGCCUGUUUUUUGCACAUUAAAAAUGAAAAAGUUUGUAGAA